rnacentral:tRNA from 1 species
AAGGUUUUAUGUUAAAUAAACAAAUAGCCUUCAAAGCUAUCAAUAGAAGUUUACUCUUCUAAGCCUUA